rnacentral:rRNA from 1 species
CAGUAGCCGCGGUAACACAGAGGGUGCGAGCGUUAAUCGGAUUUACUGGGCGUAAAGCGUGCGUAGGCGGCUUCUUAAGUCGGAUGUGAAAUCCCUGAGCUUAACUUAGGAAUUGCAUUCGAUACUGGGAAGCUAGAGUAUGGGAGAGGAUGGUAGAAUUCCAGGUGUAGCGGUGAAAUGCGUAGAGAUCUGGAGGAAUACCGAUGGCGAAGGCAGCCAUCUGGCCUAAUACUGACGCUGAGGUACGAAAGCAUGGGGAGCAAACAGGAUUAGAUACCCGGGUAGUCCCUGUCUCUUAUAA